CAGUCGCCACGGGAAUACAGAGGGUGCAAGCGUUAAUCGGAAUUACUGGGCGUAAAGCGCGCGUAGGUGGUUUGUUAAGUUGGAUGUGAAAGCCCCGGGCUCAACCUGGGAACUGCAUUUGAAACUGGCAGGCUAGAGUCUUGUAGAGGGGGGUAGAAUUCCAGGUGUAGCGGUGAAAUGCGUAGAGAUCUGGAGGAAUACCGGUGGCGAAGGCGGCCCCCUGGACAAAGACUGACGCUCAGGUGCGAAAGCGUGGGGAGCAAACAGGAUUAGAUACCCCAGUAGUCCCUGUCUCUUAUAC
rnacentral:rRNA from 1 species